UACAGAGGGUGCAAGCGUUAAUCGGAAUUACUGGGCGUAAAGCGUGCGUAGACGGUUACAUAAGUCGGGUGUGAAAGCCCCGGGCUCGACCUGGGAAUUGCAUUCGAGACUGCGUAGCUAGGGUGCGGAAGAGGGAAGCGGAAUUUCCGGUGUAGCGGUGAAAUGCGCAGAUAUCAGGAAGAACACCCGUGGCGAAGGCGGCUCUCUGGGACGGUACUGACGCUGAGACGCGAAAGCGUGGGGAGCGAACAGG
rnacentral:rRNA from 1 species